rnacentral:SRP_RNA from 1 species
GCUGAGCUUGGUGACGCAAGCUUGUAACCUUAAGUGGGGAGCAUUAAAAUGGUGGAACAAUAGAAUUUGGAUUUGUGUAUGUUGUUGGUAGUAAAGGUUGUGGCUUUUCUCAUAUAUGGGAAAAAGAACUGCUGGCUUCACAGAGCAGCAGGCCCAAGAUAGAACGAACCAGUUUGGAAUUGGUUUGUCAUUCCCCCUGCAGGGGAUGCUCGGGUGUCCCUCUAAGGGAUGCUCGGAGGAGGGGUGUCUACCACCGGGUACUACAUCCUUUAACAACCUAUGAGACGUGCACAAUUCAAGAUCUCUUUCCAAUUGGACCACCAUUUUU